rnacentral:rRNA from 1 species
GACGAACGCUGGCGGCGUGCUUAACACAUGCAAGUCGAACGGAAAGGCCCUGCUUUUGUGGGGUGCUCGAGUGGCGAACGGGUGAGUAACACGUGAGUAACCUGCCCUUGACUUUGGGAUAACUUCAGGAAACUGGGGCUAAUACCGGAUAGGAGCUCCUGCUGCAUGGUGGGGGUUGGAAAGUUUCGGCGGUUGGGGAUGGACUCGCGGCUUAUCAGCUUGUUGGUGGGGUAGUGGCUUACCAAGGCUUUGACGGGUAGCCGGCCUGAGAGGGUGACCGGCCACAUUGGGACUGAGAUACGGCCCAGACUCCUACGGGAGGCAGCAGUGGGGAAUAUUGCACAAUGGGCGGAAGCCUGAUGCAGCAACGCCGCGUGCGGGAUGACGGCCUUCGGGUUGAAAACCGCUUUCGCCUGUGACGAAGCGUGAGUGACGGUAAUGGGGAAAGAAGCACCGGCUAACUAUGU